UCGGUGGGUUUCCGGUCGGGCGGCGCCUCGUGGCGGGCGCGGGGCCGCGGGUUCCGGGCAGCGCCGUGGGGGCACUGAGUGGACUUCCUGCUGGGGUUCAGCCCGAGAGGAGCCCCAGCCCUGAAUGUCGACUGUGAGUGGUUCCAUUGGUGAGGUGGCUGGACCAGAAGAUCGUUCUGCAGGAUGGUGAGAGUGCUUUUUAGUUAUAUAGAAAGUAGUUUUACCUAACUGGAUGCUAAACAUGAAUAAAAUCCUGUUCUUAAA